ACAGAAGCAAUCAUCCAACGACUUGAAAGUAUUCUGUCAGUUCCAGGAAACGGAGCUGAAAAUCAACAGUUUAUCCUCGAAGUUCUUCUGCCACAGUGGUUGCAAAGAAGCAACAACAUGUGCCGAUAUCAAGCAGAAACUGUGCUUAUGAAGACCAAGUCUGUCAAAGAAAAUGACGGGUGACUAACAUAGAUCAGAAAAUGACAACGGAAGCCGAGGAAAUGAUAACAGAAGCCAAAGGCACAGAAAAGGUUAAAAAGUUUUUCAACAGCAGCCACUUGAUGGAAC